UACGUAGGGCGCAAGCGUUGUCCGGAAUUAUUGGGCGUAAAGAGCUCGUAGGCGGUCUGUCGCGUCCGUUGUGAAAACUCGAGGCUCAACCUCGGGCUUGCAGUGGAUACGGGCAGACUAGAGUGCGGUAGGGGAGACUGGAAUUCCUGGUGUAGCGGUGGAAUGCGCAGAUAUCAGGAGGAACACCGAUGGCGAAGGCAGGUCUCUGGGCUGCAACUGACGCUGAGGAGCGAAAGCAUGGGGAGCGAACAGG
rnacentral:rRNA from 1 species